CGAAUAAGGAUCGGCUAACUCCGUGCCAGCAGCCGCGGUAAUACGGAGGAUUCAAGCGUUAUCCGGAUUUAUUGGGUUUAAAGGGUGCGUAGGCGGUUUGAUAAGUUAGAGGUGAAAUGUUAGGGCUUAACCCUGAAACUGCCUCUAAUACUGUUGAGCUAGAGAGUAGUUGCGGUAGGCGGAAUGUAUGGUGUAGCGGUGAAAUGCUUAGAGAUCAUACAGAACACCGAUUGCGAAGGCAGCUUACCAAACUAUAUCUGACGUUGAGGCACGAAAGCGUGGGGAGCAAACAGGAUUAGAUACCCUGGUAGUCCACGCAGUAAACGAUGAUGACUAACCGUCGGCGAUACACAGUCGGUGGCCAAGCGAAAGCGAUAAGUCAUCCACCUGGGGAGUACGUUCGCAAGAAUGAAACUCAAAGGAAUUGACGGGGGCCCGCACAAGCGGAGGAACAUGUGGUUUAAUUCGAUGAUACGCGAGGAACCUUACCCGGGCUUGAAAGUUAGUGACGAUUCUGGAAACAGGAUUUCCCUUCGGGGCACGAAACUAGGUGCUGCAUGGUUGUCGUCAGCUCGUGCCGUGAGGUGUCGGGUUAAGUCCCAUAACGAGCGCAACCCCUACCGUUAGUUGCCAUCAGGUCAAGCUGGGCACUCUGGCGGGACUGCCGGUGUAAGCCGAGAGGAAGGUGGGGAUGACGUCAAAUCAGCACGGCCCUUACGUCCGGGGCUACACACGUGUUACAAUGGGGCAUACAGAGAGUAGCGCAUGCGCAAGCCUGCGCGGAUCAGAAAAGUGUCCCUCAGUUCGGACUGGGGUCUGCAACCCGACCCCACGAAGCUGGAUUCGCUAGUAAUCGCGCAUCAGCCAUGGCGCGGUGAAUACGUUCCCGGGCCUUGUACACACCGCCCGUCAAGCCAUGGGAGCCGGGGGUACCUGAAGUGCGUAACCGCGAGGAGCGCCCUAGGGUAAAACUGGUGACUGGGGCUAAGUCGUAACAAGGUAGCCGUACCGGAAGGUGCGGCUG
rnacentral:rRNA from 1 species